AUGGCGCUGGUGUCCAACCCCGGCGAUCCGGCUCUCCGGAUCUACGGGCCGAACAUCUAUUCUGGGUACCCCUCGCCCGAGGAAGACUCCGAGUCCAGGUCUUACCUGCUGCACAAGAUCGGCUCCUUCUACCGCAAGGCGCGGAGGCGGCUCGCGUGCCGCCGCCGCCUGCAGGCGCACGGCCUCUGCGUCGGCCUCCUCGACCCGGUCUCUAACGUCGUCGUCAACAGUAGCAUCGUCCACCACUCUCGCAAGCGCGAGCGGUGGCGCGACCGCGAGGAUGCGCCGCAGGAGGACCUGGAGCGCCGCUCGCUCGACGGCCUGGUGGUCUUCCUCACCCGCCUGUUCCCCAACCUUGCGGAGGGCCUGGCCGUGCGCUACCUGCGCCUCGCCAAGGCCGACGCCCUCAUCGCCGCCUGCGCCGUCGCGUCGGACCACGGCAUCAAGUGGUUCCACGACUGCGAGGCCGCGCCUGCCCUCAUCAACACGGCCCUCAAGUGCGCCGGACUGGCCGCCGGGCACCCCGACGCCGACCGCCUCGUCCACGCCUGGCGCAACGUCUCUAGCCGCGUUGACGACGCCCUGAGCCUGCUCGACUUGCUCCGCGAAUCACAAUCCCAACGCCGCCGCUCGCACGUCGUCAGGGAUCUCGCCUCCAUGGUCAACGAGGGACCGCCGCAGGCCCGUGAAGUAGCCGUGCGGUGCGCGUGGCAGCUCGCGGAAGCUUCCCUUCGCCGUCAUCCCCGGAGCAUGCCGCAACCGGACAAUGACCUGCCCAACCGGACGCUGCAGGACACGAUCCACGGGUUCUACCUCGAGGCCCUCGCGCGGCUGCCGGCGGGCCCUGGCUUCCACCGCAGCCUGGUCAUGGCCGGCCACUGCUACGGCCCUCUCGACCCCGUCUCCAACAUCAUCGUCAACACCGUCUGGCACCACUCCGCGUUCCCGCCUUCCAUGAAGCUCUAG
rnacentral:rRNA from 1 species